UUAAAUUGAAGAGUUUGAUCAUGGCUCAGAUUGAACGCUGGCGGCAGGCCUAACACAUGCAAGUCGAACGGUAACAGGAAACAGCUUGCUGUUUCGCUGACGAGUGGCGGACGGGUGAGUAAUGUCUGGGAAACUGCCCGAUGGAGGGGGAUAACUACUGGAAACGGUAGCUAAUACCGCAUAACGUCGCAAGACCAAAGAGGGGGACCUUCGGGCCUCUUGCCAUCGGAUGUGCCCAGAUGGGAUUAGCUAGUAGGUGGGGUAACGGCUCACCUAGGCGACGAUCCCUAGCUGGUCUGAGAGGAUGACCAGCCACACUGGAACUGAGACACGGUCCAGACUCCUACGGGAGGCAGCAGUGGGGAAUAUUGCACAAUGGGCGCAAGCC
rnacentral:rRNA from 1 species